CGUUAUAUGUUUCACAUUUCAAUUAUCCUGGAGGAGUAGCAAUCCAGAAGCUUCAUGAGUUGGUACCUUCAACAGCAGAGGUCUCCGUUCAUAUUGAUGUGGCUGCAGCACAGACAGGAGUCUCUCGGUUUCUAGAAAUCAAUUCAGAUUGGAGGUAUGACAAAAGAGAAGAUAUUAAACCAGGAGACCAACUGAUGUUUUCUUACACACACAUACUGAUGGAAACGAACCCUCUUCAAAUAUCACAUUACAAGACAACCCACAGGCCACUGGCAAAUAUACCUGGCAUCAGUAAAAUUGGGCUGAACCUUACUGCACUACCUCCUUUUACUUUAAACUUAAAGCCAAAAUUAGUACUGUUGGAAAAACUUCCUUUAUCAUCCUGACUGUGAAUUUUAAGUCUUUUGAUGUAACUUUGCUGAUGACUGAAUAAUGUAUGACAACAGAAAAUUGUCAUUCCAGCACUGCAAUUCAGCUUCUGUGAAAAGAUUAUGUAUCAAGGAACUGAUCUGGUGGGGUGGAGCCUGCUCCACUGUGGGUGGCUGUUGUGCAGGCUUCCUCACACCAAGAUCUGGCAAAGGCGACCUGCAGAACUUGUCAGUCCAGUCCCUGGCUCCUCUUGAAAUUGCAAUCAUUGAAGUAUUAUCUAUUUGACUUGUCUUUGGAAGAAAACUCAGCUUCCUUCAGAGCCAAUUUGGACAUCAACUAAUUCACAUGAUACAGAAGGAAGUAAAUGUGCAAAUAGCUGAGAACUUGGAACACUAUGAAGGAAAACUUUUGAGUAAGGAU
rnacentral:lncRNA from 1 species